rnacentral:rRNA from 1 species
CCUACGGGUGGCUGCAGUGGGGAAUAUUGGACAAUGGGGGGAACCCUGAUCCAGCCAUGCCGCGUGUGUGAAGAAGGCCCUCGGGUUGUAAAGCACUUUCAGUGAGGAAGAACGCCUGGUGGUUAAUACCCAUCAGGAAAGACAUCACUCACAGAAGAAGCACCGGCUAACUCCGUGCCAGCAGCCGCGGUAAUACGGAGGGUGCGAGCGUUAAUCGGAAUUACUGGGCGUAAAGCGCGCGUAGGUGGCUUGAUAAGCCGGUUGUGAAAGCCCCGGGCUCAACCUGGGAACGGCAUCCGGAACUGUCAAGCUAGAGUGCAGGAGAGGAAGGUAGAAUUCCCGGUGUAGCGGUGAAAUGCGUAGAGCUCGGGAGGAAUACCAGUGGCGAAGGCGGCCUUCUGGACUGACACUGACACUGAGGUGCGAAAGCGUGGGUAGCAAACAGGAUUAGAUACCCGAGUAGUC